UGGGGAAUAUUGGACAAUGGGCGAAAGCCUGAUCCAGCCAUGCCGCGUGUGUGAAGAAGGCCUUUUGGUUGUAAAGCACUUUAAGCGAGGAGGAGGCUACUUGGAUUAAUACUCUAGGAUAGUGGACGUUACUCGCAGAAUAAGCACCGGCUAACUCUGUGCCAGCAGCCGCGGUAAUACAGAGGGUGCGAGCGUUAAUCGGAUUUACUGAGCGUAAAGCGUGCGUAGGCGGCUUUUUAAGUCGGAUGUGAAAUCCCUGAGCUUAACUUAGGAAUUGCAUUGGAUACUGGGAAGCUAGAGUAUGGGAGAGGAUGGUAGAAUUCCAGGUGUAGCGGUGAAAUGCGUAGAGAUCUGGAGGAAUACCGAUGGCGAAGGCAGCCAUCUGGCCUAAUACUGACGCUGAGGUACGAAAGCAUGGGGAGCAAACAGG
rnacentral:rRNA from 1 species